AGCAGCCGCGGUAAUUCCAGCUCCAAUAGCGUAUAUUAAAGUUGUUGCAGUUAAAAAGCUCGUAGUUGAAUUUCGGGGUUAGUAGGUUGGUCAUGCCUCUGGUAUGUACUGGUCUCACUGAUUCCUCCUUCCUGAUGAACCUUAAUGCCAUUAAUUUGGUGUUUUGGGGAAUUUGGACUGUUACUUUGAAAAAUUGGAGUGUUUAAAGCAAGCUAACGCUUGAAUACAUUAGCAUGGAAUAAUGAAAUAGGACGUUCGAUCCUAUUUUGUUGGUUUCUAGGAUUGACGUAAUGAUUAAUAGGGAUAGUUGGGGGCAUUAGUAUUCAAUUGUCAGAGGUGAAAUUCUUGGAUUUAUUGAAGACUAACUACUGCGAAAGCAUUUGCCAAGGAUGUUUUCAUUAAUCAAGAACGAAAGUUAGGGGAUCGAAGACGAUCAGAUACCGUCGUAGUCUUAACCAUAAACUAUGCCGACUAGGGAUCGGAUGAUGUUAAUUUUUAAUGACUCAU
rnacentral:rRNA from 1 species